rnacentral:rRNA from 1 species
GCGGAGGAAAAGAAACUAACAAGGAUUCCCCUAGUAACGGCGAGUGAAGAGGGAAAAGCUCAAAUUUAAAAUCUGGCGGUCUACGGCCGUCCGAGUUGUAAUCUAGAGAAGUGUUUUCCGCGCUGGACCGUGUACAAGUCCUUUGGAACAAGGCGUCAUAGAGGGUGAGAAUCCCGUCUACGACACGGACUGCCAAGCGCUUUGUGAUACACUCUCAACGAGUCGAGUUGUUUGGGAAUGCAGCUCAAAAUGGGUGGUAAAUUCCAUCUAAAGCUAAAUAUUGGCGAAAGACCGAUAGCGAACAAGUACCGUGAGGGAAAGAUGAAAAGCACUUUGGAAAGAGAGUUAAACAGUACGUGAAAUUGUUGAAAGGGAAACGCUUGAAGUCAGUCGCGUCUUCAGAAAUUCAGCUAGGCUUCUGCCUAGUGUACUUUUCUGUGGGACGGGCCAGCAUCAGUUUUGGCUGCCAGAAAAAGGUCGGAGGAAGGUGGCACCUCCGGGUGUGUUAUAGCCUCUGAUCGUAUGUGGCAGCCGGGAUUGAGGACCGCAGCACGCCUUUAUGGCCGGGGUUCGCCCACGUAACGUGCUUAGGAUGCUGGCGUAAUGGCUUUAAACGACCCGUCUUGAAACACGGACCAAGGAGUCUAACAUGCCUGCGAGUAUUUGGGUGGCAAACCCAUAUGCGGAAUGAAAGUGAACAGUUGGGACUUCUGUCAUGGAAGGCACCGACGCCCGGACCAGACCUAUUGUGACGGAUCCGAGGUAGAGCAUGUAUGUUGGGACCCGAAAGAUGGUGAACUAUGCCUGAGUAGGGUGAAGCCAGAGGAAACUCUGGUGGAGGCUCGUAGCGAUUCUGACGUGCAAAUCGAUCGUCGAACUUGGGUAUAGGGGCGAAAGACUAAUCGAACCAUCUAGUAGC